rnacentral:misc_RNA from 1 species
AAGUCGUAACAAGGUUUCCGUAGGUGAACCUGCGGAAGGAUCAUUAACGAAUUUAAUUGAAGUUGUGCUGGUUCUUACAAGUGCACACUUCUUAAUUCUAUUCACACCCACUGUGCACUUUAAGAGACGUAUUUCCCCCGUUUACGUGCCUUUAUUGGCUUGGGAUUUCGUCUAUUUUAUACACUCUUAAUUGUAUUAGAAUGUAAUUAAGCGGAAACGCUAAAACAUAAUAUAACUUUCAACAACGGAUCUCUUGGUUCUC